UAAUAACAUUAUCGGGAAUGGUAAAAAAUGACUGUAACGUAUCAUUAUUAAAAUGUAGACAAUAAUAAUAAUGUAUUAAGUCAUGAGAGAUAAGAUUUUAGUAAUUAGAAAUAAUCCGGGGCCAGUUGGUGACUGACCAGCGCGACUUUUGUUAUCUGGGCAUAAGAUCAUGUAGAUGAUUGGUUAUUUACGCGAGCAAAUUCGUGGUAUCAGCUCUUGUAAAAAACGUUGUACGUGAUAAAUCCGCGUUUUGUACCGCAAGCAAUAAACAUUGAGUUUCCUGUCGAAUCUCGGGUUAUCAAAGUUCAAUUUCGAAUUUUGCAUAAAGUGUUAUUUACGAUUGUCGCCGGUGAAUUGGAAUGAAGUAACGCGUGGCGUAAGCUGCAAGUGAUGCGUUUCGUCGUAUUCGACAGCUGAAGCUGCAGAAAGUCCUAUAUUACCGUGGGUGUGGGAUUGACGGGGGAUCGGCUGUAAGGGGAAGCGAGCGUCAUAUGUUUCCCGAAUUCACACAGCACUUCACAGCACACGGAUUUUGGGCCAACGCGGCGACGGCAUUUUUUUCGGUAACCUUACGGCCCUUUGGGGAGGCAUGGCCCGUCGAAGCAGUUGUCCGACGGGCCGCACCAAGGAACGGAUGCCCACUAACCAUAAGUCCGGGAGCUUCUCAUCCAGAAUAAAAGCAACGCUCAAAAUACAAGUUUUAUUUCAGUACUGCUAUAGCACAGCUUUUUGAGUAUUUUUGACCUGCCUAAGUUGCACACAGCAUUGCCUGAACAAUUUUUAAUGUUAAUUAUAGACAUAAACAAACAGAAA